rnacentral:rRNA from 1 species
AAGCAAUACGAGAGUGAACUGCGAACGGCUCAUUAUAUAAGUUAUCGUUUAUUUGAUAGUGCCUAUCCUACACGGAUAACAGUGGUAAUUCUAGAGCUAAUACGUGCCAACUGCCCCGACUUCGGAAGGGGCGUGUUUGUCAGAAUCAGAACCAAUGCCCUUCGGGGCUCCCUGGUGGCUCAUGACAACCCUACAGAGCGCAUGGCCUCGCGCCGGCGCCGGCUCAUUCAAAUUUCUUCCCUAUCAACUUUCGACGGUACGGUCUUGGCCUACCGUGGUUACAACGGGUAACGGAGGGUUAGGGCUCGACCCCGGAGAGGGAGCCUGAGAAACGGCUACCACAUCCAAGGAAGGCAGCAGCCGCGCAAAUUAUCCAAUCCCGACUCGGGGAGAUAGUGACAAUAAAUACCGAUACAGGGCUCUUUUGGGCCCCGUAAUUGGAAUGAGUACAAUUUAAACCUCUUAACGAGGAACAAUUGGAGGGCAAGUCUGGUGCCAGCAGCCGCGGUAAUUCCAGCUCCAAUAGCGUAUAUUAAAGUUGUUGUGGUUAAAAAGCUCGUAGUCGAACCUCGGGCUCGGCCGGCCGGUCCGCCUCACCGCGUGCACUGGCCCGGCCGGGCUCUUCUCCCUGCGGAGCCGCAUGCCCUUCACUGGGCGUGCCGGGGAAGCAGGACUUUUACUUUGAAAAAAUUAGAGUGCUCAAGGCAGGCCAAUGCUCGGAUACAUUAGCAUGGGAAUAAUGGAAUAGGACGUUGGUUCUAUUUUGUUGGUUUCUAGGACCGCCGUAAUGAUCAAUAGGGACGGUCGGGGGCGUCAGUAUUCAGCCGCGAGAGGUGAAAUUCUUAGACCGGCUGAAGACUAACUACUGCGAAAGCAUUCGCCAAGGACGUUUUCGCUGAUCAGGAACGAAAGUUAGGGGAUCGAAGACGAUCAGAUACCGUCGUAGUCUUAACCAUAAACGGUGCCGACUUGGGAUCGGGCGCUGCUGAAUCUACGGCGCGCUCGGCACCAUUCGAGAAAUCAAAGUGCGUGGCUCCAGGGG